CUGAGGGGCUGACCCGUGGUUAUUCUGCAGUUUACAUGAACAUCUAUUUUGACUACACCUGAAUUUUUUUCAAUAUCCUAACUUUUCCAUAGGCCUUCUGUAUUUCAACAGCUCAAUACAGACAUUGUGUUUUAAGGCAGGGACCAGAGGAGGUCUGGCAAAAUGGGGGUCCAGCUGUAACUCUCCUAUGCUUCAUGUUGAUGUAAGAAGCAAGAAAGGAAAAAAUAUACACAAGAAAAACACUGAAAAGGAAGACUGCUAAUGCUGCUAAGGUAGGAAUGCAAAGCUCUUGCAGACACCUCCCUCCUGUCUAGCCUUCACUUAUCACUGUGGGGUUGUUAUACAGAAGAGACUGAGUGUAAUUUACAUUGUUUCUUGAAUAAAUCCACUCUCAAAGA